GAACGAUCCUUCGGGAUAGUGGCGGACGGGUGAGUAACACGUGGGAACGUGCCCUUUGGUUCGGAACAACACGGGGAAACUUGUGCUAAUACCGGAUGUGCCCUUCGGGGGAAAGAUUUAUCGCCAUUGGAGCGGCCCGCGUCUGAUUAGCUAGUUGGUGAGGUAAAAGCUCACCAAGGCGACGAUCAGUAGCUGGUCUGAGAGGGUGACCAGCCACAUUGGGACUGAGACACGGCCCAAACUCCUACGGGAGGCAGCAGUGGGGAAUCUUGCGCAAUGGGCGAAAGCCUGACGCAGCCAUGCCGCGUGGAUGAUGAAGGUCUUAGGAUUGUAAAAUCCUUUCAGCGGGGACGAUAAUGACGGUACCCGCAGAAGAAGCCCCGGCUAACUUCGUG
rnacentral:rRNA from 1 species